UUGAAAGGGAAACGAUUGAAGUCAGUCGUACCAGCGGGAAAUCAACCUUUCGAGUGGGGGUUUUGGAGUUUUGAAGAGUGUCAAAACCUUUGAGAUUUCAAAAUUUUCGCUCCUUUGGUGUACUUUCUCGUGGGUAGGUUAACAUCGAUUUCGAUCAUCAUAAAAGGAUUGGAGGAAUGUAGCUUCGAUCUUGUAUUGAAGUGUUAUAGCCUUUGGUAAAUGUGAUGAUUAGGAUCGAGGAUUGCAACGAAUACCCUUUUGGGCUAUCCGCCUGAUCUCUGAUACGUGACCUUGGUAUUGAAAGCGUGCUUAUGAUAUUGAGGUAUUACGGUCAAAAGGUUAGAACGGAUUACAUUCGUUAAGGAUGUUGACGUA
rnacentral:rRNA from 1 species